UACACUGAACAAACAGCUCAGUAAUGUCAAAUUUCAAUUCAGUAAGAACACAGUGUGUGUGGGGGUGUAUUUGUAUUUGUAAUUCUAUGUUACUAAGCUACAUUUUUAUCUUCUUUGGUUUUUCAGUAUAUAUACUAUGAGCACGUUGCCUCCCACUCUCAAGUACUCACUUUCUUCUGAAAUCAAUACUAUCCUCUUUGUCUAGCCCUAUUUAACCCUCUUAACUCUUUAUUCUGCAGCACUAUUGCAUAAAUGCAACACAUUAAAACUCUGUUGUUAUUGUGCUUACUACAGUAAAAAUGCUUCUCUUUUCAUUUUAACAAAAUAUAACUUGUAUAUUAGCUGUGUUCGAUAGCUGAAAUUUUCAUUCAUUGCAGAGGAAAAUGAAAGAAUUGAAAGAAUUCUCUUUUCUAAGUAUAGUGUUGUGGAGUAAAUAGGCUGUUAACUUAGCUUAAGCCUAGUUUAAAAACUGUCAUGGUUCCCCAGUCUCCUGUGCGUCUCACAUAUUUCUAUCCGUCUCUUCUUCUGUGUGUGUAUGCAAUAACCGCACUUUCUGUUGCAGGACCGGGCCUUCCCUCUGUUCCCACCUCAGCUGUUGACACACCUGAACUGAUGAACUCACGUGUUGGUAAUCUGUGACGGAUCAGGCUGCUAUUUAAGCUGGAGGUUUCCCUUCAUUUGAUGCUGGAUCAUUGAAGUGGAAGGAGUUGGAAGAGUUGUUGGUUUGCAGCAGGUGUGGCUCUGUUUGAAAGCAUGAAAUCACAGUGGGUUGUUUUUGCAGUGGUUUUGAGAUGUACUGAGAAUUAUAUCUCGUGUCAUCACCGAAUGUUGAUGGGUAUUACAACUCCUGUGGUGUGCACUUCUACAGUAGAUGUGUCAUCCAUGGUUACCUGAAGUGAGCCACGAGCACAGACAUGGGGAAUGUUGAGCUCUACAAUAAAUCAACAGUUUUAGGACCUCAAGCCAGCUACAAAAUCCAGGCUGAUACGAUGACAAAUCUACAAACUAAGCUACAGAUAAACCCUACUUUCCCCCAGUUGCUGUAGUUUUGGACAAUAUAAUAUGAUGACAUGCUCCAUCAUGUUAAUAGCUAAAUAUUGCGUCCUAUACAUUUAGAAAUAUUACAGAUAAAAUUUACUUGUUACUUAGUCCAUGUAGAGAACCACCUAUCCUGGAAAACACUAAAUCAAGUCAUUUUUAAAGGACUACAACAGAGAAGAGAUGAAAUCUCCAGUCAUAUUCUUCAGUUGAUUUUUCAGUUACUUUUAUCAAUCAUGGCAUGUUGUUCAGAUUGUUUAACGUUGUAAAACAUGGACUUCAAACUUCUGACUGUGGAGCUCUGUGUUCAAAUUCAGAGGUAAUAUGCUUUAAAAAUAAAUAAAUAAAAACUGUUAAAAUAUUCAUUCAGUUGUUCCCCACAUAC